rnacentral:lncRNA from 1 species
UUAAGGUUGUGCUUGGAAACGUUCCAACUCGUCAUUUUUAUUCUCGCUACGCAACAAAGACAACCUUGCUCCAUUUAUUGCCAACAUCAAGCAAGGUCAGGAGCAGUAUGCAAUCUGCUGUCUCUCUAGUUAUGGACCAACCUUUGGUGGAGGUCAUGGUCUGUAUAUUUGUAACAAUCCUCAAUUUAAUCAGCAUUCAUACAGCAAUUUUGGAAACACAUAUCAACUUCCUCCUGGUUAUGUCUAUGGUAGUGAACAAGCAAAGAACCUUCUUGCUGGUCAGUACCGAUUCUUAACGACAGAAAUUGAAGUCUUCAACUGAAAAGUGCCUUUGUUUACUUACUUCAACGAAAAAUAACAUUACAUUGAUUACGACCGGUCUUAGCAAUCACUUUUGGACAGUGAUUUUGCGAUGUUAUAAAGUAUUAAGAAUUAAUAUGAAUAUUCUGAGUCAUGUACUGUAGGAAUUUUAAAAAUUAAAAUUGGUCGUUUGCCUCAACAGUAGCGGUUACUGGAGUCAACAAAUGAAAGGCGUUGAAGAAAACUUGUGAAAAACCGAUUGUUAUACAGCCGACGAUAUAACCAAUUAUCUAAUCAGCAUAUAGCCUAGGUAAAUGUUCGAAAAUUGGAAGAACAUUUAAUUUUCGAUCGACCACUUUAAAUCGGAUUGCAUCUGACCAUUUUUCAUCGCAAUGACAUAAGAACGAUGUCAUUUUGCAGCUAAAAGCCUAUCUUUAUUAGUGUGCGAAAAGUAAAUCUAUAAACUUAGUAUCUAUAAUAUACGAUAACAUGCUGAAAUUGUUUUACUUUUUUUUAUACACCCUGCACUAUACAUGUUGAAGGGUUUUCCAUCUAUAAAAAACCAUUCAACAUUUAAUAUCGACUGAGAUGCCUGAAAUCCUGAUAUGUACCCAUAUACCUUACACUGGCAUCACGUAGUAUGUACUGUAUACAUGAACUUGUGGUUAAAGCUCGACAAGUGGAUUCUGUAGCUCAGUUGGUUAGAGCGCUGCACUGGAAUCGCAGGGUCGCAGGUUUGAUUCCUGUCAGAGGGUCUAUAUAGUUACAUUUUUUGCAGCUGCUCCUGGUUUGGUG